CACGGGGGGAGCAAGCGUUGUUCGGAAUCACUGGGCGUAAAGGGCGUGUAGGCGGUUGUGUAAGUGGGAUGGGAAAUGCCUCGGCUUACCCGGGGACCUGCAUCCCAUACUGCAUGACUUGAGUACGGGAGAGGAUGAGGGAAUUCCUGGUGUAGCGGUGAAAUGCGUAGAUAUCAGGAGGAACACCGGUGGCGAAGGCGCUCAUCUGGCCCGAUACUGACGCUGAGGCGCGAAAGCUAGGGUAGCGAACGGG
rnacentral:rRNA from 1 species